rnacentral:rRNA from 1 species
GAUGAACGCUGGCGGCGUGCCUAAUACAUGCAAGUCGAGCGAACAGAUGAGGAGCUUGCUCCUCUGACGUUAUCGGCGGACGGGUGAGUAACAUGUGGAUAACCUACCUAUAAGACUGGGAUAACUUCGGGAAACCGGAGCUAAUACCGGAUAAUAUAUUGAACCGCAUGGUUCAAUAGUGAAAUACGCUUUUUCUGUCACUAAUAGAUGGAUCCGCGCCGCAUUAGCUAGUUGGUAAGGUAACGGCUUACCAAGGCAACGAUGCGUAGCCGACCUGAGAGGGAGAUCGGCCACACGGGAACAGAGAAACGGUCCAGACUCCGACAGGAGGCAGCAGUAGGGAAUCUUCCGCAAUGGGCGAAAGCCUGACGGAGCAACGCCGCGUAAGUGAUGAAGGUCUUCGGAUCGUAAAACUCUGUUAUUAGGGAAGAACAAAUGUGUAAGUAACUAUGCAGGUAUUGACGGUACCGGGUCAGAAAGCCACGGCUAACUACGUG